rnacentral:rRNA from 1 species
CGUUCCGCUUCGGUGGACAAGUAAAGUGGCGCACGGGUGCGUAACGCGUGGGUAAUCUACCCUUGAAUUUGGAAUAACUCCGCGAAAGCGGUGCUAAUACCGGAUAAUAUCUUUUAAUCCACGGACUAUUAGAUCAAAGGUGGCUUCUACAUGUAAGCUACCGUUUAAGGAGGAGCCCGCGUACCAUUAGCUAGUUGGUAGGGUAAAUGCCUACCAAGGCAACGAUGGUUAGCUGGUCUGAGAGGAUGAUCAGCCACAUUGGAACUGACACACGGUCCAGACUCCUACGGGAGGCAGCAGUGAGGAAUUUUGCGCAAUGGGGGAAACCCUGACGCAGCAACGCCGCGUGAGUGAUGAAGGCCUUUAGGGUCGUAAAACUCUGUCAAGUGGAAAGAACCUGUUAAACCUUAAUACGGGUUUAGCACUGACGGUACCACUGAAGGAAGCACCGGCUAACUCCGUGCCAGCAGCCGCGGUUAAUACGGGGGGGUGCAAGCGUUAUUCGGAAUUAUUGGGCGUAAAGAGCGCGUAGGCGGNUUU